rnacentral:rRNA from 1 species
GAAGAACCUUACCAGCUGUUGACAUUCGGGGUUUGGGCAGUGGAGACAUUGUCCUUCAUUUCGGCUGGCCCCAGAACAGGUGCCGCAUGGCUGUCGUCAGCUCGUGUCGUGAGAUGUUGGGUUAAGUCCCGCAACGAGCGCAACCCUCGCCCUUAGUUCGCCAGCAUUUGGUUGGGCACUCUAAGGGGACUGCCGGUGAUAAGCCGAGAGGAAGGUGGGGAUGACGUCAAGUCCUCAUGGCCCUUACGGGUUGGGCUACACACGUGCUACAAUGGUGGUGACAGUGGGCAGCGAGACCGCGAGGUCGAGCUAAUCUCCAAAAGCCAUCUCAGUUCGGAUUGCACUCUGCAACUCGAGUGCAUGAAGUGGAAUCGCUAGUAAUCG